GCGCUAACUAUAAUUUAGUGAGGAGAAUAGAGCCUGAGCUAUACAUGUUUUCACUUACCGGAUUUUUCCUCAUCGCCUCUCAAUGGAAGAAAGAAUUGUCCACACUGAGAAAAGAUAUCAAAAGCAGUCUUAAUCUAAUUUUCUUCUUUUUAUUUGUUCUAAUAUUUUGGUCCCUUUGUGGCUUCAAACAAAUUAACUUUCAAAUUUUUCUCAAAGAUAGAAGUGCCUUUUUGUCAGUUUUGCAGUUCACUGAAAAUGACUUUUAGAAGAAGCGUGUUUUAUAGAAACACUGAUUAUAACUCUGUCAUCUGCAACAAUGAAGUGCAAGAAAGUUAAAAAAAACCAGUCAAAUAAUACAAAAUUUUUUUGAGAUUUGGGUAAAUUACUAAUCUAAGAUAGGACCUUGCUUAGUUCCCCUACGCAUUCUAAAACAAACCAAGAGUUUUGAAUCUUCACAUUUGUAAAAUUAAUUCCAAUAUACUUAUAACUUUGGGGAUGUCCAUGACAAGCAGACUAAAGAAAUUGUAAAGAUCCACUUCACUGUGACUCAUCCAACUGAGGCAAAGCCCUAGGUAGCCUCAUUACCUCUCCUUUAUUAAAACAAGCUCAACUCAGACACAAAUGGAACUCUUAAUCAGAAAUGAAAAUUCCACAAGUAUUCAGGUCCCUUGUUAACUGCAAGUACAAAUUAUUCUCUCAGGACAAGAAAGUCACUCAUGGAUAUGACAAGCUGGGUGGCUCCUGAUCCUCAUCUCAUGAGUGUUCUGCAGACUCCCUAAGUGGGUAAGAAAUUCAGCAGGCAAAGCUUUAAAACACAUCUCCACCCUCAACUCCACUAUUGUAUAUGUUUCUUGUAAACAGGUCUCCCGUUCAGGGGUAGACGUUGGAAAAGGCAUGAAGACCGUGUGUCUUGCUCCCAGCCUGUGAAAUGUAACCAUUUUAAUAAGACAAGUCAGCCUCAAUGCCAACAAAAUAAGUUCCAAAUUGAACAAUGAAGUACUACAUUCCUAUGUUGUCAUCUUGGUUUUAUCUCACUAGAGACUUUUUAAAAUUGGUGUUGUAUUUAGUUAAAUCAUAACUGCUUCAUUAAUGGGGUCUCACGAAAUGUUUCAAUAAACGCACUAGAUUGUAUGGCUGGAUCAAGUUAAUCCACGUAUUCACCACCUCAAUUUCUUACCAUUUUUUGAAAUGUACCCUACAUUGAUUUGGAUCUCAGUGUUCUAAUGGUAAUUUUAUUGCUUUUAGGGGCAUCCAACUGUGUUUUCCAAAAUCGAUGGCUUUACUAAUCAACAUUCAUGUUAAUAGUAUGCAAAUUUACCUUGACCCCACAUUCGCUUGGACACUUGUCUUUCUAACCGCAGCCAGUCUGACAGGUGGGAGGAGAGAGCUCAAUGAAAAAUUUUUUCAUAUACUUCUGAGUCAUUUGUAUACCUGCUUUUGGGAAAUACCUGUGAAAGUCCUUUCUUGUUUUUUAUUUGUUUUCUUGCUAUUCGAUGUAUGUUUUGAAAAUACAGAAUGGGAGUCAUAGUUACUCUGUGGAGUGUCUUCUUUUCUCACCAUCUUCUUUGUUUGUUUAUUGUUUUUUGUUCUUGUUGUUGGUUUUGGGUCUUUUGGGUUUUUUAUUUUUUAUUUUUGCUGUUAUUGGGGUUGUUUUGCUUGUUUGGGAGGGUAGGGUUUUUUGGGGUUUUUUUUUUUUUUGAGUUGGGGGAGAUGGGAUUUUGUUGUUGCUGUUGUUUUUGAGACAGGGUUUCUCUGUAUAGCCCUGGCUGUCCUGAAACUGGCUCUGUAGAUCAGGCUGGACACAAACUCAGAGUUCAGCCUGCCUCUGCCACACUGCUUUGUGCUCCCUGCGAAAUGAGGGUGCUCACUAGCCCAGGAUCUUUGAAUCCUGGAAUGAAAGACACACCCACAUUAGCUUAUCUUUAUAAUGCCCUGGCUACCUCAAAGGCUAAACCUUCCCCUGCUAUCUCAGGCCAAAUUGAGGAACUGGCCAGUGGCCACUUACCAGAAGUCUCACACGGCUGGUUGGUUUUAUAUCCUGUAAGUCCUGCAUCUCCUCCUUCUACCCCCAGUCAUGAUGAUUCUCUCUUUCCUGGUCCUCUCUGCAUCCUACCCACACAACUUUAAGUGUCCUACCCCAUGCCCAACCAUUGGCCAUUGGCAUCUUUAUUGAUCGGUCAAUCAAAACCCAAUUGGAGAAAAGGACCUUCAGCAUCUGGACAAGCAGAUUCCUGAUUGAAUCAAAGCAUUAGAACCAAUCUGCAACACCUGAGUGCUGGGGUUAAAGGCGUGCAUCACCACUACCAGGCUUCUCACUGCGUACAUGGCUCAUUUGUUCUUAAGUCAGUGACCAUUGACAAUGUGCUAUCUGUGCUAAGUUCUAAAUAUUGAGUUUAUGGGUAAAACAGGCAAGGUUCUUAGAGAGUACACAAGUCCACAGAGUGUUUCCUUAUAGCUUUUGCUUUUCUUCUCUUUUCUUUCUUUCUGAUUUCUUUCUCUCUCCCCCCACCCCUCUGAUAUCAUCCUGGUAUUUCCAGUUCUGUUUAAUGCCAUGGCCAUGUCUUUCAUUGCUUUUACUGUAUGGUUCAGUGAGUUCAUUCGGUUCCUUUAAACACUACUCUCCCCUUAUCAUGCCUCCUUUCCCUGCUAUUGCUGAGUAAUAUUCUUGUUGCACUAUACAAAGGCUAUUGCAUACUCUCCUAUGCAGUCUCCAGCUACAGUCAUCCUCUCCUAGACUCCUAUCAUCUUCUCGUCCCAGAAAUAAGCAGAGAUCUGUUGGGAAAUUCUAGGAAUCCUUUUCCUCCUCGGUUAAAAAGAGACACAUGAGGACACAUACGUCCCUUGUUUAUCUUGUGACAUCUGUUUGGGUUUUUUUGGAAACUUCCUCUCUACUCAGCCUUUCAUGUGUCUUUGCUCAUGCCUUGAGCCUGCAUGUAGUUCUCUCCACUUUCUCUCCGGAAGAAAGCUCAUCUUCUCUCAUAUAUUCCAUUGCCAUCUAUAGUCAGUCUUCCAACAUGCCAUAUUCAAUCCAGACCAUUCUUCAAAUUGUAGAGACACAGUUCCAAAGCUUUACAGUAGCUCUACAUACCACAUCUGAAUGUGUUUCAAGAAUUUAUAAUAUGGGAGACUUUCAAAUACAUUUAUGAUCAGUAACUACCGUGAUAGAGAACUGCCUGCCCCCUAGGCUUUCCUCCCAUAGUAAAUGGCACCAGCAUCCUUCCCCAUGUUCCAGCCAGAGCUGUCUUCAGCAUUUCUUUUUCCUUCGGUGUCUCCAUUACCUCCCAACCCCUGCCAAAAUAACCAAUUACCAAAUCUACUUGGCCCCGCCUCCUUUUUCUUCCUUUUCUAUUUUAAGUCACCUUCGUCUCUUGCCUGAAUCCACAUUAUUUAUUUUCUAAACAAUUUUCCCUCUAGACCACCUUUCUGCUCAACCUUUACCCCAUUUUUCAUACAACAAUAAAAAGUAAUCAUUUUACAUGUAAAACUCAUAAUUCCUCUACUCAAACUAUUCAAUGGCUUCUCAAUGUGAAGGGUUGCCUCUCAAGUCCCUCUGUGUGUUUGCUGAGUAAAACCAACUGAAUUUUGCCUGAGGGUGUUACAUAUGCUCUGCCAGGAUGCUGUUCCUUCCACACUGUGCACGGCUUUCAGGCAUUGCACUCUUAAACGCAAUCAGAAGUGGACUCCUAAUCCUACCUCCUUCAACAGAAACCAGCAGCCUGACCUCCGGAGCUUCAGGAAGACUCAGCUGUAAAUGUUUCCGAUUCUCAGAAGUGCACAGGGCUUGAUUUUCUGUAUCAUAUUUCAUCCUGCUUAAAACAGGAUGAGUCCCUUUUUUUUUUCAGAGUCCUGAAACUCUCUAAAGCAAACUGUAAUGAGUCAGUAUAGCUCUGCCAGGCGGUGUGAUCACACACCCGCAGCAUGGAAACAGAUCGUCAUUUCCUCAGCUAAGCACCAGAUGAAGAACUUGGCUCCCGUGGAGGGGCCAUGCUGCAUGAGAAAUAUGUUUGCUUUUGUUUGUGUGUUGUUGAAUCUAUGCAAGUAAAAAUAUAAGACUACACUGAAAGCGCAGUGCCAGAGACAUGCACAGGGUACGCUGGGGAGUUGGUACAGAGUCAGGAAGACUUUACUACAGCGCUGGAUGUCUGAGGUCUGUCUUGGAGUGUGAAGAGCAAGCCAUGAAAACUGCAUCUGAGGUUAGGAGAAAGAGCAGGCUCAGCAGAAAUGCAAGUUGGACGCAGAAUUUGAAGAAGCACAGUAUAGUUCUACUCGUGGGGUGGGGGAGGGGCUGCUCAGCAAAGCUGGAUUAUCCAGAGACUUUGGGGAGAGUGAUGGAAUCAUUUGCAAUGGAGAGACAAGAUCCUGAAGCAGGGGAAGCUGGGUAAUAAGCUCAUGUUCUGUGGUCUAGGAGGUCCUUGAUUUUAAGACGCACCAUUCAUAUUUAUAAGAGCUCUCAAGAGAAUUUAGAAGCACUAAUCUAAAUACACACACUUUAUUAAAAAUUAACAACUGAGACAUCA